rnacentral:rRNA from 1 species
GGCAAAAGCUCAAAUUUGAAUCUGACGUCUGAUCGGGCGUUCCGAGUUGUAAUUUGGAGGAGCGGCUUCGGGAGCGGCACCGUCUCAAGUUCCGUGGAACCGGACGUCACAGAGGGUGAGAAUCCCGUGUCUGGACGGGCUAGCCUGUUCCCAUGCGAAGUGCUUCCGACGAGUCGAGUUGUUUGGGAAUGCAGCUCAAAAUGGGUGGUAAAUUUCAUCUAAAGCUAAAUAUUGGCGAGAGACCGAUAGCGCACAAGUAGAGUGAUCGAAAGAUGAAAAGCACUUUGAAAAGAGAGUUAAAAAGUACGUGAAAUUGUUGAAAGGGAAGCGCUUGAGAUCAAAACUCGGUCUUUGGUGAAGCGUGCGAUUUAGCUCGUAGCCUCUCCCUUUGACCGGGCCAGCAUCGGUUUUGAUGGCGGGAGAAACGGUAGAGGAAUGUGGCUCUCUUUGGAGAGUGUUAUAGCCAAUACCACAUACCGCCAGUCGAGACCGAGGACCCCCCCGCGCUACGGCUAGGAUGCUGGCGUAAUGGUCUUCAGCGACCCGUCUUGAA